rnacentral:snRNA from 1 species
CGCUCUUGUUUCUCUUCAUAUCUUACAAAUCUUUUGCAUUUUACUAAAGAUUUCCGUGCAGAGAAACAGCUAGAGAAAUAACUUGGGGAGGCGAUAGUAGCGCAGUGGGUAGAGCAGUCGUCUC